UUUUCCUUGCCACACACACCUCCUCUUCUCGUUCCUCGUUUCUUUCUAGCCUACUUUCGUAGGUGACCGCGUCGCUCAGCUCGUCGGCGACGAUUUGCUCCACGAGUGCGUGUUCGUGGAUUGGAGAUGAUGCGCAUACCUGAGAUUAUGAGGACGCGGUGGUCAAGAAGGAGUUGGACCUUGCAAACGUGGGUGAGCUGGUGGUUUGAUCGAACAGGACUUAGCCGGCGACGGGAAGUGACCACCUAGGAGAGAGGUAACCACUGUUGUCGUGCUGCGUUGGCGUGUUGCUAAUCUCUCUCCCGUUUUCGUCAUCGCAGAUCCAACGUCGCCUUUGUCUCACUCUCACAACUAGGAUUCGUGAACAAAGGAAGGAGUGCGCCGUCCAUUGGCGAGGAGCAGACGACGAACGCCGCGGUAGCUUCUUCCAGCGCAACGACCUCUUCCCUCCCUUCUACUCAAAUUAAGAGAGGGGAAGGUGACGUUGGGCAAAUUAGAGCCUGACAGAAGGUUCGUUAGCGUCGUGCUUGUCAUCUCGUCGAGCCCCUCCUUCAGUGCUUGAUCAAAUCACGCGGGUUUGCGGUCUGCUCGACGGAAUUCGCCACAGGAGUAGGAAGGGGAAAGAAGAAAAGGAUAAGAAGAAGCCAUCGCCGGGGGACGGGGGAGAGGUUUGAUGUAGACGGGGAGGACGACGCAAUGGCAGUGGAUAAGGGGAGGGGAUGUGCCUGUAUGCGUGCACCGCAGAGCGUGGCGGCCGACCAUCACGGGCGGAGCCGCUGCCGCCUCUCUUCUCCUCUUCUCGAAGAGGAACUGAGAUUAGACUAGAGCUACUCCCGCUGUUGUUACCUCCUUACUCUUGAUGAUUACACCUUGAUUAAAGACUGAUCACCCGGUAAUAGGAUGAUGCUAUGUUUUCCUCUUAAUCUUUUAGUCCGUUCCAACUGUGAGCUCUCACAUAAACGAGUAGAUUCUUCUUUCCAAUCAGAUGGAUCAGUGUCACUUCGGGUUCAUCAAGCUGAUCAUGCUCAUCUAUCAUCCGCUCUUUGUUGCUGAGCUUGAAAUAUACUCAACAUGAUACACGUCAGCUGCCUCCAGUUCAAGAACUACAAGAUGCAAGAAGAACUGAAAUCAUGCUUGGAGCAAACUUUGAUCAAUGAUGUAGUGCCAGCCUUUACAUUAAAUUUCCGCUGCAGCUGAAACAGAAGAGUGCUGGAACGGAGAACAACUUCACCUCAUGUUCACACUGUCAGCUAGCUUUAGUAGAAAUAUCUGAAGGUUCUGUGAUAAUUUUGUCAUCCUUUGCAAGCUACAAAAUGAAGCAGAUGAUAUUGAAUAUUUCGGAGAAGCUGCUGCAUUGGCUAUUUGACUAGCCUUCGAAGUAAAUACUCAAUACUUUUGCAAUCGGCUUUGUGGCGCCUUCAUUCUUGGAUGUUGCUGGCAAGGAUUGGAAAUCUUGUUCUCCUGAGAAACGGAAGAAUGGCAGGCACAUCCUCUUUUGAGGAUUUGAUGGGCAAUCAAAAGAAGGGAACCUACUUUUUAAUACUCUUGGGCAAGGCACUCUCUAAGAUUAACCCUAUUACAUCGUCUUGGCUUCCAGAAGGCGACAAAAUAUUGUCUGGCAUUACUAUUUAUUUUAUGAUUUUGUGAAAAGAUGUCUUUUUGUGCCAUUUGCGGAUUGUUUGAUAAUUCUUGGUCUCAUGUAGUGUUGGAACUCACUGACAUUGUACCAGUUUUUUUUUAAUCUUCACCCUGUCUCUACUUAGUUGCUUGAUGUGAAUUUUGCGACGAUCACUCCAACAUGUAAGGUCUUUUUGAAGGACUUAGUGUUGAUUACCAUUUGUCU